rnacentral:rRNA from 1 species
AGUGGAUGGGGAGCAACCUAGUUGUGCGUGUGUAAAGGUAGUGCCCAGAAAAGCGAUGAUCAUGUUGAAAAUCAAUUCCCGGUACCCGAAACCGACACAGGUGGGCAAGUAGAGAAUACUAAGGGGCGCGAGGUAACUCUCUCCAAGGAACUCGGCAAAAUGACCCCGUAACUUAGGGAGAAGGGGUGCCACCGAGAGGUGGUCGCAGUGAAGAGGCCCAGGCGACUGUUUAGCAAAACAUAGGUCUCUGCAAACUCGAAAGAGGAGGUAUAGGGGCUGACGCCUGCCCAGUGCCGGAAGGUUAAAGAAGUUGGUCAGUUUUAGGAUGAAGCUAGCGACUGAAGCCCCGGUGAACGGCGUCGUAACUAUAACGGUCCUAAGGUAGCGAAAUUCCUUGUCGGGUAAGUUCCGACCCGCACGAAAGGCGUAACGAUCUGGGCGCUGUCUCGGAGAGAGGCUCGGCGAAAUAGGAUUGUCUGUGAAGAUACGGACUACCUGCAUUUGGACAGAAAGACCCUAUGAAGCUUUACUAUAGCUUGGAAUUGUGUUCGGGCUUCCUGUGCGCAGGAUAGGUGGGAGGCGAAGAAGGUAUUCUUGUGGGGAUACUGGAGCCAACGGUGAGAUACCACUCUCAGGAGGCUAGAAUUCUAACUUAAUUAAGGACAGUUUCAGGUGGGUAGUUUGACUGGGGCGGUCGCCUCCAAAAAGGUAACGGAGGCGUACAAAGGUUCCCUCAGACUGGUUGGAAAUCAGUCGCAGAGUGCAAAGGCAGAAGGGAGCUUGACUGCGAGAAGUACAGUUCGAGCAGGGUGGAAACACGGUCUUAGUGAUCCGACGGUGCUGUGUGGAAGGGCCGUCGUUCAACGGAUAAAAGUUACUCUAAGGAUAACAGGCUGAUCUCCCCCAAGAGUUCACAUCGACGGGGAGGUUUGGCACCUCGAUGUCGGCUCAUCGCAACCUGGGGCGGAAGUACGUCCCAAGGGUUGGGCUGUUCGCCCAUUAAAGCGGUACGUGAGCAGGGUUCAGAACGUCGUGAGACAGUUCGGUCCAUAUCCGAUGUAGGCGUGAGAAUAUUGAGAGGAGCCUUCCUUAGUACGAGAGGACCGGGAAGGACGCACCGCUGGUGUACCUGUUAUGAUGCCAAUUGUAAACGCAGGGUAGCCAAGUGCGGAGAGGAUAACCGCUGAAAGCAUCUAAGUGGGAAGCCCACCUCAAGAUGAGUAUUCUGGUGUAAGGUCACGGGAAGACGACCCGUAAAUAGGCACGAGGUGGAAGUGCAGAGAUGUAUGAAGCCGAAGUGUACUAAUAGACCGUCGGCUUGAUC